GAUUGUAAACUUUCUCUCUACAAUCGCGGCUG
ncrna:unclassified sequences S4-Bacteroidia ribosomal protein leader